GAGGGAGGGGGUCUUGCCUCAUUUCUGUCAGGUGGGGGUGAAAGUCCAGGUGCCAUUGGCCCUUGAGGAGGCGGGGCUCCUUGUUAGUGCCAGGUGGGUGGGAGUGGGAAUCCGUGCUCCCACUAGGCCUCUAUUGGUAGCACCCAGGCUGGGAGAGAGGCAUCUUGCUAGUGUUCCUCAAGUAAUCUUCACUGCCAACAAGGAGGGGAGGGAGCGGACGGCAAUUGAGACAUCUGACUUCCCCUUGACUUCCUCUAACACUGGCAGAUGUUCAGACGUGUCCAGAGUUUCUUCCUUCUGAUGGGUUCGUCAUCUCGCUGACUUCAGGAGUAAAGCCGCAGACCUUCGCAGUGAACAUUACAGCUCUUAAAAGUGGCGUGUCCAGAGUUAUUUGUUCCUCCUGGUGGGUUCGUGGUCUCGCUGACUUCAGGAGUGAAGCCACAGACCUCCGCGGCAUUUUGGGAGUCCCUGCUGUGUGCUGGGAAUCAUAUUAGAUACCAGAGAUGAGUACAAGAUACAGUUCCUACAGUUCCUGCAAUUUAGGAGCUUGACAUGGAGACAUCCCCAUCCCAAUCCAUGGCCCCUCUUCAGAUGUUCAGAUUUCUGGCCACACGACAUUCUAUUCAAUGACCAUGCAGCCUGGUGUCACUCGCUGCCCCUGCUCUGCACCCGCCUGCCACCAGAUAUCAGGUCUGUGUCACUCAACGUGUGAUCACAGAUGAGGAGUAUUGAUGCCACCUGGGAGCUUUCAGAGAUGCAGAGUCUUGGGCCCUGCUGCAGACCUACAAAAUCAGAAUCUGCAUUUUAACAACGUCCCCAGGAUGCACACUAAAGCUGAAGUAGCCUGGCUCCCGGAAGAGGGAGUGCCCGAGCAGUGCUGUGGAGGUAUGAGAAAGCUUGGUGUCUUAGAGGAAUGCCAAACAUUCCCACCUGGAGGGAGAAUCGGAAUGGCAGAAUGCAGUGAACCAUGGAAGGAAGGAGACAGGACGGGGAGCAGGGGCCUGGAGUGCAGCACUACAUGUUACCCUGAGGACUGUGGGGAAGCCGUGGAGGUGUCAGGCAGAGGAAUCACAUUUGCGUUUCGGAAAGAUGUCUCUAGGCGUGGGAAGAUGGCCUGGAGAAGGAUCAUUUGAGAUAAGAGACCCCAAGGCCCUAUCUCAGGGUUUCAAACCUCGGUGCUAUUGCCAUGUUGAGCCGAUAAUAAUUCAGUCUUUGCUGUGCGGGCUGCCCUGUGCACUGUGAGAUGCUGGGCAGCAUCUCUGGCCUGUGACCCCCAGAUGCCCGCCGCACAAAUCUGCCUCCAGACAUUGCCAAAUCUGCCUCCAGACACUGCCAAAUGUCCCCAGGGUGGGAGCAAGGGGCAAUAUUGCCACGAGUUGGGAAGCACUGAUGGGAAACAGGGCGGAGGAGGGUGAUGGUGUGAAGAAGGGGUGGUUAGAAGGGUGACUCCAGAGACUUAGUAGCUGACUAAGAUCAGGAUUGUGGACACACUGCAAAACAAGCAUCAGCAUAAGCUUCUACUAAGGUAGGAGACCACUCCUCAUAUUGUCUUAUGUCCAAUUUCUGCCUCCAAAGAAAGAAACAGUAAAACCUCGAAGGCAGAAAUGAAAUCCACAAGCAGACAGCUCGGCGCCACACCCUGGGCCUGGUAGUUAAAGAUUGACCCCUGACCUAAUCGGUUAUGUUAUCUAUAGAUUACAGACAUUAUAUAGAAAAACACUGUGAAAAUCCCUAUCCUGUUUUGUUCCAAUCUAAUUACCGGUGCAUGCAGCCCCCAGUCACGUACCCCCUGCUUGCUCAAUCAAUCACGACCCUCUCACGCGCAUCACUUUAGAGUUGUGAGCCCUUAAAAGGGACAGGAAUUGCUCACUCGGGGAGCUCGGCUCUUGAGACAGGAGUCUU
rnacentral:lncRNA from 1 species